AUGCAACAACUCCCAACAGCACAAAAUACAUGCACAAUAUUAACAAGCAAUUUCUCAAACAGAUUCACAACUCCAAAAAAUAAAAACAAAUUAAAUACCAAAAAAAAAAAUCAGCAAAGUUUAUCGGUUACUCGCAAAUGCAUGAGAAAGAAAAUCAAAAGCACGAAAUCAAAUCAUGAACAAAUAAAGUGA